AAGGCGUUCCCCCACCCCAAUCAAAAGAGGUGUGCAGGAAGGUAGCUUCUUCCCUUCCUGCUACUUCUGAAUCAGAAUGAGAUGAUUGGAGCUGAGGCGGCCAUCUUGAAAGCCAAAAGGAAGACAAGAUCCAGAGCUGAAGUGCUUUUUCCAAAGACAGAGGCAGAGCCUGGGAGAGCAGCCGCUGCCCACACGAAUGCAAUAUUCCAGGAGCUUGGGAAGAAGGAAAUUUGAGAGCAAAGAGACCAGGGGAACAUCCUGUGUGAAGACAGACAGAUCAAAGUGACGGAGCCAUAAGCCAAGGACCGCCAAUGAUUGCUGGGAGCCACCGAGAGCUGGGAGAGAGGCAGGGCCCCAUCUCGCCAUCAGAACCUGCAGGAGGAACCAACCUUUCGCCAAGCCGGACCAAGAGGCAAAAUGUUGUUUACUGUUUACACCCCCAUUCUUUCACACGUUAAGUCGGCUCCAUGCCCAGUGUGGGGCUGGAACUCAUGACCCCGAGAUCAAGAGUCGCACGCUCCAUGGACUGAGCCCGCCAGGCGCUUCUCAUCAGUAAUUCUGAAGGGCGUUCGGGGGUCCUGAGACCAAAACAGUUUUUUUUUUUUUUUAAGAUUUUAUUUAUUUAUUCGACAGAGAUAGAGACAGCCAGAGAGAGAGGGAGCA